AGUGCGGAGCUACCAUGCAGUCGAGCGGAUGAGAGGAGCUUGCUCUUCGAUUCAGCGGCGGACGGGUGAGUAAUGCCUAGGAAUCUGCCUAGUAGUGGGGGACAACGUUUCGAAAGGAACGCUAAUACCGCAUACGUCCUACGGGAGAAAGUGGGGGAUCUUCGGACCUCACGCUAUUAGAUGAGCCUAGGUCGGAUUAGCUAGUUGGUAGGGUAAAGGCCUACCAAGGCGACGAUCCGUAACUGGUCUGAGAGGAUGAUCAGUCACACUGGAACUGAGACACGGUCCAGACUCCUACGGGAGGCAGCAGUGGGGAAUAUUGGACAAUGGGCGAAAGCCUGAUCCAGCCAUGCCGCGUGUGUGAAGAAGGCCUUCGGGUCGUAAAGCACUUUAAGUUGGGAGGAAGGGCUCAUAGCGAAUACCUGUGAGUUUUGACGUUACCAACAGAAUAAGCACCGGCUAACUUCGUGCCAGCAGCCGCGGUAAUACGAAGGGUGCAAGCGUUAAUCGGAAUUACUGGGCGUAAAGCGCGCGUAGGUGGCUUGAUAAGUUGGAUGUGAAAUCCCCGGGCUCAACCUGGGAACUGCAUCCAAAACUGUCUGGCUAGAGUGCGGUAGAGGGUAGUGGAAUUUCCAGUGUAGCGGUGAAAUGCGUAGAUAUUGGAAGGAACACCAGUGGCGAAGGCGACUACCUGGACUGACACUGACACUGAGGUGCGAAAGCGUGGGGAGCAAACAGGAUUAGAUACCCUGGUAGUCCACGCCGUAAACGAUGUCAACUAGCCGUUGGGAUCCUUGAGAUCUUAGUGGCGCAGCUAACGCAUUAAGUUGACCGCCUGGGGAGUACGGCCGCAAGGUUAAACUCAAAUGAAUUGACGGGGGCCGCAACAGCGGUGGAGCAUGUGGUUUAUUUCGAGCACCCGAAGAACCUACCUGGCCUGACUGCUGGAACUUUCCC
rnacentral:rRNA from 1 species